UAUUACUUUCAAUGAGUCCUGGCAGCAGCUACAGGAGAGAGAAUUGUUUUGAAUUUUAAUACGUCGUAGUCACGAAGAUAACAACAAGAGAAACUAUGAAGAAGGAGACAAAAAUCCCGUCGGUUUUCCCCAUGAAACCAAACUUCACCUGGAAUUUUCUAGAGGCUGUGGAAAUCGAUGCACCGUCCCUGGUGCUAAUGGCAAGACUUAUGAACCAGCACGGACGACUGUUAGCCUUCUGGGCUAAUUAGAGAAUAAGGACAGGAUAUAUGUGAGUGGAUUUCUUAUCUAAAGGUAUUUUAUUGCAUUUAUUCCUUGAAUGUGCAUUUUUUUGUUUUCUGUUUUCCUCCAUUUUCUGCCUCU